rnacentral:rRNA from 1 species
UGGGGAAUUUUGGACAAUGGGGGAAACCCUGAUCCAGCCAUCCCGCGUGUGCGAUGAAGGCCUUAGGGUUGUAAAGCACUUUUGGCAGGAAAGAAACGUCAUGGGUUAAUACCCCGUGAAACUGACGGUACCUGCAGAAUAAGCACCGGCUAACUACGUGCCAGCAGCCGCGGUAAUACGUAGGGUGCAAGCGUUAAUCGGAAUUACUGGGCGUAAAGCGUGCGCAGGCGGUUCGGAAAGAAAGAUGUGAAAUCCCAGAGCUCAACUUUGGAACUGCAUUUUUAACUACCGGGCUAGAGUGUGUCAGAGGGAGGUGGAAUUCCGCGUGUAGAAGUGAAAUGCGUAGAUAUGCGGAGGAACACCGAUGGCGAAGGCAGCCUCCUGGGAUAACACUGACGCUCAUGCACGAAAGCGUGGGGAGCAAACAGG